rnacentral:rRNA from 1 species
AACAAACGCUGGCGGCGUGUCUUAAGCAUGCAAGUUGAGCGGCAAGGAGGAGAGAUCCUCCCUAGAGCGGCGGACUGGUGAGUAACGCGUGGGUAAUCUAUCGUAGGCAUGGGGAUAGUCACUAGAAAUAGUGGGUAAUACCGAAUACGUUCCAUGAGGGGAGUAUUCAUGGAAGAAAGGGUGCUACGGCACUGGCCUUAGGUGAGCUCGCGUCCCAUUAGCUAGUUGGUGAGGUAAAGGCCCACCAAGGCGAUGAUGGGUAGCCGGCCUGAGAGGGUGUACGGCCACACUGGGACUGAGAUACGGCCCAGACUCCUACGGGAGCAGCAGCUAAGAAUAUUCCGCAAUGGACGAAAGUCUGACGGAGCGACGCCGCGUGGAUGAAGAAGGCCGAAAGGUUGUAAAGUUCUUUUGCUAGGGGAGAAUAAGUGAGGGAGGGAAUGCCCUAUGAUGACAAGGACUAGCGAAUAAGCCCCGGCAACUACGUGCCAGC